CUCUUGAUAUUCAUUGAUCCUUCUUUUGCUCACCAGACACCUAGACCCUCUCUCCACCUAUACUCCCCUUCUAGCACUCUAGACAAAGUAUUUUGGUCUAGGAAUGAAGUAUUUCUCAGUUUAAUUUGCAAGCUUAAAGGUGAGACAUCUCAAAAGACACUGAUCUUACAUCUUCUCUCUUUGCAAUAUCAAUUCACAGCAGAAUCGCGUCUCAUGGAAUCAAGCUUUCUCAGAAGCAAAGGAAAAUGAUUGCCCUGGCAGCAAAAGAUAAUGGGUCAGUAACUAGCAGCACAGAGCCUACUACACUACCCACACCACCCCCACCUACAAAAGUUGCAAAACUAGGGAAUGCAUGGUUGUCUUCAUUACAUUCUGCUUUGCCAAAGUCAUUCCGUGAUCUUGUAAUGGAAGAAGAAAAAUGUAUGAGUGCAAAUAAUUCACCUGGUACUGCUAUCAAAAGAGCUGGAUAUAAAGGAACUGAGGAUUCAUUGGUCCAAAACACCAUAAGGUAAGAGAGCUGUCUUUUCCUAGUUGGUCAACCAUUAUACAAGAACCACAAUAACCUGUUCAAAUUCUGCUGAAAUAAGAAAGGAUAAAAUUGUAAUUUUAAGAAAAGUAAUCUGUAAGGAUUCUUUUAAUGAAUCUGUUAAUAGGAUUUUAUGGAUGGAAUACUCUUAUGAAUAGGAAGCUUAACGACUAAAGCAAUUUAGUGCCACUGCUAAUAUUUUGUCUGAGGUUUGAAGUGUUUGUGUCUAUGGACAAGUGUGUGUGUGUGUGUAUGUGUAUGGACACAAACACCUCAGGCUCCAAACAAAAUAUGUAUAUGCAUGUAUGUAUAAAAUUGGUAAAACUAUAUUUUCUAACUUCUGUAGAAAUUAGAUAUUCUUUAGCAUUCAGAUGUGGCACGUGUGAAACAGUGUAACCACUGAGUAGAUAAAAUCAGUUUAUUCAAACACAGUUCUGGCAUUUUCUGAUCUGUUUUUGUAUAAGCUGACUUAAUUGUUUAGGUGCAGUUUUUUGUGGAUGCAGAGGGCUUGCUGAAAUACUUAUGCAUUGGUUGUGUCUGUAUUAUAAUUACUGGGGGACUACAGUUCUAAGGACAAAAAUAACUUGUUAGGAGGUGCGCGUGAGUCUGUGUCUAGUUAUUAGACAAUGUUGCUCUUUGGUCAAAUUCUUUUAGCCAUGCAUCCUCUGGCUGUCUCUAAUAAAACCUCUGGUUUGGGUUAAAAUAACUGUCUAAGCUGACGAAAGAAAUCUCAGCCUUAUUCCUGAAAUCCUGAAGGAUGGAGUUGCCCACCCACCUGCAUCUCUUCCCCCUAUCAUCAGUAAAUUUGAAUGCUAUGCAUUUCAAAUAUAUGUAUGAGUCAGAGGGCCUGAAAAUCUUACAGACUUUCCCACCCUCCAUCUGGAAGCAGCACAGGCCAGCUGCCCCAGGGUAGUAGGGGAGCC
rnacentral:lncRNA from 1 species